AGCUGAAGCACAGACACCACUUCCCCAAUCUACAGUAGCCAUUUUAACUGCAUAAAACUGCUGGAUUUCUUUUUACUUUCUGGCUCUUGGGACUAUGCAAACACCUUAAAACAAAUUAAGGCCUGUCUUUCUUCAUACAUAGAAUGGAUGAUUAUUCAGCUUGGAGAUCAGACUCCAUCUGUCUUGCCUUGGCAGUAGGCAAUACCAACUGUUUCUGAGGAGAAUGCAAGAAUCCCCAAGUGGGCAAUUAUUGGGGGGGGGGGGGGGGGAAUCCUGCCUGUCUGUCUGAGAAGCUUGUUUGAAAUUCAUUCUCUGAGAGUUUGGCUUGUGUCAUAAAGCAUGAUGGUUUAUAUCCAUUCCAAACUUGUUUUCU